ACAACCCAUUCUCGAGGUCUUCCUCUGUUGGGAAUCUUAUUUCAGGGUGAUGGUAUCUAGCAAAGGGUAGUUGGCACUGGCGGAGGAGUGUGUAACAAAAAUCAAGGGCUGAAAGGUAAAUUGAGGCUAAUGCUAAUAAGAAGCCAGCAUUGUGGUCUGACGUGGGAGCACUGGAGAGGGAUGGAACUGCUGAAGAUGAGUCCUCAACCUCUUGAAGUCUUCAGAUAAAACUUUUUUUUGCAGGGAAAUAAACGUUACUUAUGUGUCAGUGUUAAUGAAUAAUUAACUGGUACAUUAAAUCCAUCCAUUUCUCUAACUCGGUACCUUCGUAUCGAUCUGGCAUAAUUUGCAGUGUAAAUCCUUCAUCUGCCUUUUCCCUUAGUAUCACAAAACUUACAGGAAUUAACUGGAUUUAUGUUUCAUCGCAGCUGACUCUUCUCUCGGCUUGUCACGAUGAACUUUCAUUUGACAUGCUCGCUCCUACCCUCUCCCUGUGACAUCUCCAAUCCAGGCAGCGAAGGCAGGGAGGUAACUGCAUUGCCGAGUGUCAAACAGAGGACCUGAAUUCUUUCAUAGUUCACCAGCCAAGGUCGUUCCCAUGAAUGGCCCAUGCUGAGGGUUAUUUAGAGAAGCAGCAUGGAGCAGCCGUGGGCUGCAGGCGGUUUGACCAGCAGUUAAAGCCGUCAGGAAAUUAGCGAUGGGUGUAGCAUCGCUGUCUGGCUGUGUCAGCUUGUUGAUCUGUUUGAUAUUUUUGCUCCUUGCCCAGCGCAGUAGGUUUUGCAGCAGCCCUCUUCUGCCGGAGUUGUUCAUCUGAUGCCUCCUGGCUUUUGCGGGUGGGCUGAAGGAGAAGCGAAGUGACCUGUGGGGUAGGAAAGGAGCUUCUCUGUUAAAUUUGUUUUCAGCGGUACUUCAGACUCCUUGUUGGUAUGAGUGCCUUUUGGAAAAGGGUGGUAAAGGGUGGGGAGCUGUUCCGUGCACUUUUUCCAGCUGAUUCAGUUGGUAGCAGCAGUGUGCGCUCCCUUGCCUGACAUGAAGUGUUUUACUACCAGUUGGUGAAUAGUAUGAGCUUGCUCUUAUGGAAUCAGGACUGUGGCAAGGCUCGUUGGCUUCUUAAUUGGAACCAGUGGAGAUCUUUAUUGCUGGGGCUUGAAAAGCAUCAGAGAGCCAGAAACUGGAUGGUUUGGAGACAGAAACAGACAGUAACCCAUGUAAGAACUACAUCAGGAGUAGGUAAUUUACACCGCCAGAUAGCUAUAGAGCUGGUUUUAUAUUCACGCUGUGGGAGCAGUCUUGGAGGGCAGGAGACAUGCCAGCAGAGUGAGCUCAUUGAUGGGAAAGAGAGAAUUCUCUUUUAUCCCCAGCCCUCCUCCUGUCCGUUUUAGUUAGGCACAAGUCAGCAAUACUUAAAGCUUUUCCCUGCCCUCUGCGCUGACUUCUUCCCCUGGCUUUAAGGGGUGUGCGUUUUAUUUAGCAAUAAAAGACACAUCCUGA